GUGCUUGCUUUGGCAACACAUAUACUAAAAUUGGAAUGGUACAGAGAAGAUUAACAUGGCCCCUGCACAAGGUUACAUGCAAAUUCAUUAAGUAUCCCAUGUCAAG